AGUUUCUCAUGAUCCUCGUCACCUCCCAGGCUAACCUGCUCAUUCGUCUUGUCUCAGAUCUGUGCUCUUCUAUGUGAAGGGAAUUCUGGGUGAAGAAAUUCCCUCUGUCAAUGCAGAUCUGCAACUCAUCUUCAAUUUGUAGUCUUAUAAGGAUGAACAACAACACAAGACCAGUUAUAACUUCAGAAGAUUUAUAAUAAAUCAGCUCUUCACCCUUGGCUGAAAGAGUCAUCAGAGGUCCAGUGGCAAGACAAAAAUCAGGAUGACUGGGGAUGGACAGGGAUGCUGUGGAUGAAGUUGGUGUCUUUGAUGUCUGACCAAGCUCUAAGUGCUCCAUGGUGCCUCCCUCAAUCACCUUCACAGUUGUUGGAGCAAAUUGUUCUCAUCUACCAGUUACACUGGGGGAAGUCUUCUCAUGCUUGGGGUAGACAUCCCCCUAAACCACUGAGGGGUUUAAGGUCUGUCAGUUGCUCUCAACCUGGUUUAGCCAGUCUGCCGAGAAGGCUUACUGGGGUGUGGCUGCUGUGCAU